rnacentral:lncRNA from 1 species
CAAGCUAUUAUGGGAGCUUUCUCUCUCUUUCUCUCCCUAAACACCUAGCUAUUGAGAGAAAGUAUGAAAGUGGGAUUUUUCAAAGGUUUUAAAGUGAGAGAGUGAAAGAGCACAAGGAUUUCAUGAAAAGGUGCACCGAGGCAUGAAAAUUGGAGCUAGAGAGAGAAAGUUAUGGAAGCUUGAAGAGGACUCCCAUGGAGGAUGAAGAAAC